GARUGAAAGGUUAUACAUUUAAAUUUCUUUAUUAAUUUCUUAUAUAUAAUUUAUAUUAAAUAUAAAAAUAUAUUUUUUAAAUAAAAAGACGAUAAGACCCUAUUAAAUUUUACUUAUAGUUUAACUGGGGAAGUUUUAAAAAUAAAAUUUUUUAUAAAAAUAAAAAUAAAUCUAAUAAAAUUAAAAUUAAAUUAAAUUACUAUAGGGAUAACAGCAUUAUAUUUUUUAAAAGUUCAUAUUAAAAAAAAUGAUUGUGACCUCGAUGUUGAAUUAUAUUUUCUUUAUUAAUGCAAUAAUUAUAAAAGUAGAUCUGUUCGAUCUUUAAAAUAUUACAUGAUUUGAGUUCAAACCGGUGUAAACCAGGUUGGUUUCUAUCUUUUUAUAAAUUCAUAUAUAUAUAUAUAUAUAUAAAUUUUUCAAGUACGAAAGGAAAAAAAAAUUUUUAUUUUAAUUAAUUAGCAAUUAAUAUGCAUUAGAUUUAGAAUCUAAAUAAACUAUU
rnacentral:rRNA from 1 species